GUUGAACGCUGGCGGCAUGCCUUACACAUGCAAGUCGAACGGCAGCAUGAUCUAGCUUGCUAGAUUGAUGGCGAGUGGCGAACGGGUGAGUAAUACAUCGGAACGUGCCCUGUAGUGGGGGAUAACUAGUCGAAAGAUUAGCUAAUACCGCAUACGACCUGAGGGUGAAAGUGGGGGACCGCAAGGCCUCAUGCUAUAGGAGCGGCCGAUGUCUGAUUAGCUAGGUGGUGGAGUAAAGGCGCACCAAGGCGACGAUCAGUAACUGGUCUGAGAGGACGAUCAGCCAGAAUGGGACUGAGACACGGCCAAGACUCCUACGGGAGGCAGCAGUGGGGAAUUUUGGACAAUGGGGGCAACCCUGAUCCAGCAAUGCCGCGUGUGUGAAGAAGGCCUUCGGGUUGUAAAGCACUUUUGUCCGGAAAGAAAUCGCACUUACUAAUAUUAGGUGUGGAUGACGGUACCGGAAGAAUAAGGACCGGCUAACUACGUGCCAGCCGCCGCCGUAAUAC
rnacentral:rRNA from 1 species